UACGUAGGGACCGAGCGUUGUCCGGAUUCAUUGGGCGUAAAGAGCUCGUAGGCGGUCUGUCGCGUCUGCUGUGAAAACUCGGGGCUUAACCCCGGGCCUGCAGUGGGUACGGGCAGACUAGAGUGCGGUAGGGGAGACUGGAAUUCCUGGUGUAGCGGUGAAAUGCGCAGAUAUCAGGAGGAACACCGGUGGCGAAGGCGGGUCUCUGGGCCGUAACUGACGCUGAGGAGCGAAAGCGUGGGGGAGCGAACAGG
rnacentral:rRNA from 1 species